AUGGCUCAUUCUCUUGUUUUCCCCAAAUUUCAAACCCUAACCCAUAAAUCCAUAAGAAACUCUCCAAAAAUCAUCUUCUCCUCUUAAGUUUCAUUUCAAUCCGCAUCCUUCUCCAUCCUCUUAACCAUUAUUCAUCCUCUUCUUGGGACAUGGCCCCCAAAAUGAAAAUGUCAUGAAGAAGGAAGUCUGUUAGAUCCUUGGAGGCAGAGGAAAGGAGGAAGAAGGCAGUACAUGAGCCGACCUAAGCAUC
rnacentral:lncRNA from 1 species